rnacentral:rRNA from 1 species
UACGUAGGGUGCAAGCGUUAAUCGGAAUUACUGGGCGUAAAGCGUGCGCAGGCGGUGAUGUAAGACAGGUGUGAAAUCCCCGGGCUUAACCUGGGAACUGCGUUUGAAACUGCAAGGCUAGAGUUUGGCAGAGGGGGGUAGAAUUCCACGUGUAGCAGUGAAAUGUGUAGAUAUUGGAAAGACCACCGAUGGCGAAGGCACUCUACUGGGCCAUGACUGACACUGAGAGACGAAAGCUAGGGGAGCAAAUGGG